CCGAGUCAUCCACCUACGCAACGCACUCGCACGGCAGGAGCGGGGGACCCAGGUAAGUCGCCGUACCGCACGCCUCGAUGGCGCGCCGGCACGGCUAGGGGUGAAGUCACGUCGUCGUACGACGGCAUGACCGGGCAUCUCCCGCCCGAACCCGACAGCUCACCUCGCAGGCGCCGGAGAGGAACGAA
rnacentral:sRNA from 2 species